rnacentral:lncRNA from 1 species
GGUUGUGGGCCUGAUCUUGCUCCUUAUAUCUCCCUACACUCCAGCAAAAAAAUAACCUGAAUAAGUGUUGCUGAUAUAUAUGCUGGGCAUUGUUGGUUGUUAGGUUUGAUUUCCAAAUGAUUGUCCACUGUGAUCUCAGCCAAAGGUAACUAGCUCCUAAUCCUUUAAGUUUUUCCACUGAGCAUGGAAUCAUAGAUCUGUUUUCCACUCUUCAAGUUUACUCAGGAUUUGAGGAUGUCAUGUUCUGGUGCCUAAUAUCUUAUUCAGUUGCUUGUAGUUUUCAACUUUCUAUUGGAAUAUUUCUAGUACACAUAAGCUGAUGUUUGUUGUUUAGUGUGCUGGGUUGGAGGGAACAGAAAGGAGGGAGGGAAUUGUUUUAUCCUAAUUUGGUUUAAAAAUUUAGGGGUGAUAAGCAAACUAAUUUGUCUUCCCUCUAAUAUUGGGAGGAUUUUAAGAGUUAGGAAAGUGAUUUAAAUUGUUGGACUGUGCAAAUUAAAUUGCCUUUAUGACAUUGGUUGCCAUAUGCACAUUGUCUACCAUCGACAGGCAAUAAAGGAAAUCAUUAAGCUAAACUUCUCUUGUGCUACAAACUAUUAAAUCUUAUGCAUUUAUAUAAAUUGUCAUUAACAAGUUCUUUUACAUGUUUGCUGACUAAUGACUUCUUAAAUUUCCCAUCAGAUUUACGAUCAUACCACCAAAUCAUGAAUUCUAUUUCUUAUUCAGUCAGCCAGUCCUAUUGUUGUAAG